rnacentral:lncRNA from 1 species
CAUUAUACUUGGUGUUGUUCAUAAAUAUCACAUAUGUUGCAGGUAGUUGAUCAUCAUAUGCAAUAGAGUUAUAAAUUAUAUGAUAAUGUAAUGUUUGUCACUCAGUAUAUGCUGCAUAGCAAUGAGAUAAACGGUAUAAAUUUAGACAGUAUAAAACAUUAAUAUAUAAAUAAACAUUUAUAUCUUAAAUUAAAUAAUAUAGACUUAGGGUUUAGAUUUUAGAAGUGGAGUUUUGGAGGUGGAGCUUUUUUGGGGAGAGGGGGUGGGGUUU